CGAACGCUUCUUUCCUCCCGAGUGCUUGCACUCAAUUGGAAAGAGGAGUGGCGGACGGGUGAGUAACACGUGGGUAACCUACCCAUCAGAGGGGGAUAACACUUGGAAACAGGUGCUAAUACCGCAUAACAGUUUAUGCCGCAUGGCAUAAGAGUGAAAGGCGCUUUCGGGUGUCGCUGAUGGAUGGACCCGCGGUGCAUUAGCUAGUUGGUGAGGUAACGGCUCACCAAGGCCACGAUGCAUAGCCGACCUGAGAGGGUGAUCGGCCACACUGGGACUGAGACACGGCCCAGACUCCUACGGGAGGCAGCAGUAGGGAAUCUUCGGCAAUGGACGAAAGUCUGACCGAGCAACGCCGCGUGAGUGAAGAAGGUUUUCGGAUCGUAAAACUCUGUUGUUAGAGAAGAACAAGGACGUUAGUAACUGAACGUCCCCUGACGGUAUCUAACCAGAAAGCCACGGCUAACUACGUGCCAGCAGCCGCGGUAAUACGUAGGUGGCAAGCGUUGUCCGGAUUUAUUGGGCGUAAAGCGAGCGCAGGCGGUUUCUUAAGUCUGAUGUGAAAGCCCCCGGCUCAACCGGGGAGGGUCAUUGGAAACUGGGAGACUUGAGUGCAGAAGAGGAGAGUGGAAUUCCAUGUGUAGCGGUGAAAUGCGUAGAUAUAUGGAGGAACACCAGUGGCGAAGGCGGCUCUCUGGUCUGUAACUGACGCUGAGGCUCGAAAGCGUGGGGAGCAAACAGGAUUAGAUACCCUGGUAGUCCACGCCGUAAACGAUGAGUGCUAAGUGUUGGAGGGUUUCCGCCCUUCAGUGCUGCAGCAAACGCAUUAAGCACUCCGCCUGGGGGAGUACGACCGCAAGGUUGAAACUCAAAGGAAUUUGACGGGGGCCCGCACAAACGGUGGACAUGUGGUUUAAUUCCAAGCAACGCGAAGAACCUUACCAGGUCUUGACAUCCUUUGACCACUC
rnacentral:rRNA from 1 species